rnacentral:rRNA from 1 species
CUGCUGCCUUCCGUAGGAGUCUGGGCCGUGUCUCAGUCCCAGUGUGGGGGACCUUCCUCUCAGAACCCCUACGCAUCGUCGCCUUGGUGGGCCGUUACCCCGCCAACAAGCUAAUGCGACGCAUGACCAUCCGUAGCCGGAAUCGCUUCCUUUAAACCCACAGAGAUGCCUCCAUGGGUUGUUACGCGGUAUUAGACGGAAUUUCUUCCGCUUAUCCCCCUGCUACGGGCAGGUUUCAUACGUGUUACUCACCCGUGCGCCGGUCGCCGGG